GACGAACGCUGGCGGCGUGCCUAAUACAUGCAAGUCGAGCGAUGAAGAGUGGUGCUUGCUCCAAUUUGAAAAGCAGCGAACGGGUGAGUAACGCGUGGGGAAUCUGCCUUUGAGCGGGGGACAACAUUUGGAAACGAAUGCUAAUACCGCAUAACAACUUUAAACAUAAGUUUUAAGAUUGAAAGAUGCAAUUGCAUCACUUAAAGAUGAUCCCGCGUUGUAUUAGCAAGUUGGUGAGGUAAAGGCUCACCAAGGCGAGGAUACGUAGCCGACCUGAGAGGUGGACGGGCCACACUGGAAUUGAGACACGCCCCAGACCCCUAGGGAGGCCAGAGGAGGGGAACAUCGGGAAAUGGGGGAAGGCUGGCCGGGGCACGGCGGGUGAGUGAAGGAAGGUUUUGGGAUGUAAAACUCUGUUGGUAGGGGAGGACGUUAGUGAGAGUGAAAAACUCACCAAUUGACGGUACCUACCCAGAAAGGGACGGCUAACUACGUG
rnacentral:rRNA from 1 species